GCUAUGACGUUCAGUCACAGGACACGUACGAGACUGUAGCCAGGAGCUGGUUUGCCAACCUCACCGACGUGGCCUGGCUGAGGAGGUUCAAUACCUAUCCUCCCGACAACAUUCCCGACACGGGAACGCUGAAUGUUACGGUUAAUUGCUCUUGUGGGAACACUGAUGUUGCCAAUUAUGGCUUGUUCGUUACCUACCCUCUUAGGAUUGGGGACACUCUGGGGUCGGUGGCUGCUAAUUUGAGCCUUGACUCGGCCUUGCUGCAGAGGUACAAUCCCGAUGUCAAUUUCAAC
rnacentral:misc_RNA from 1 species